GGAGGGAUCAUUACCCAUCGCCUUAAAGCGAACAUUUUUGAGUACUUUGUACUCUUGGCAGUAGACCGAGUAUUCCGCUUCGGCGAUGACUCGGCAGCCUUAAGUCAGUAGAGUAUUCCGCUUCGGCGUAGAGCUCGGCAGACAGUCUUCGGCAGUAGACCGAGUAUUCCGCUACGGCGAUGACUCGGCAGCCUUAAGUCAGUAGAGUAUUCCGCUUCGGCGAUGACUCGGCAGACGAAAGUGGAUAAGGGCAAGAUCUCGCUGUAGCAGGCGUUAUCGCUCUGAUCCAGGUGCCUCGAAGCACAAGUAGUGGUUCACAGCGGCCUUCUGGCUGUGUGAGCGCGACUAGAUGGGUCUUCGGACUCGGAACUUUUGAGUUCGUGGUUCGAGUACUAAGCUACCUGAGGCCGGCCGUGUCGGUUGAUGAAGGCUGUCUUUUGCUCGACUGCGCUCUCGUUUUACCAACCUUUGUCUAAAUAAACAUAGUACAACUGUUAGCCGUGGAUCACUCGGCUGGUGGAUCGAUGAAGAACGUAGCUAAGUACGUUAACCGGGUUGAUGUGCAUAAUAGCGCUGAUGCCUUGGUCUUUGAACGCACAUUGCGGGCAAGGAAUAACUUCCUUGCCCUUAUCUGUGUGAGGGUUGAUUUGUCAAUUAACAAUGUGUAAGGCGUGAUCAUAGCAAUAUGAGACGCUGUUUGUCGCAACUCAAUGCGGAAAAGGUCUUUGACUUAGCGAAGCCCGAGCGUGUCAGCCGGGUUGCGGUCUUAGAUUGAGAAGUGUCUCCUUAACUUGCGUAGCCCUAGCGCUGUCGGUUUUACCGGCUAAACAGCGGGGUGCAGUUGUGUUUUCUUGCUUCGCUUGCCUUGACUGGCUAUGCUCUCGCGUUAAGCAGGGCCUGUCGUCUUGGCUAUGAGUGGCCGUCUUUGCGUGCUAAGCCCGUGCGUAUGCUGGGUGCCGCUUAGAUGUGUUUCUCUAUGUUGCUACCCAUCUUUUUAUUACUCACAACCUCACAUCAGGUAAGAUAACCCGCUGAACUUAAGCAUAUCAAUAAGCGGAGGAAAAGAAAGCAAAUGCGAUUCCCUUAGUAACGGCGAGUGAAAGGGGAGAAGCCCAUCGUGAAGGCCUGUUUCCGUGAGGACUCGGGCGAUGCCACGAUAGUUAAGCGGGUAAGCGGUUGUUGGACUAGGGCUGUAAAUCUGCUUAAGUGCAGUGCCAUAGAAGGUCGAAGCCCUGUUUCGGCCCUGGUCCUGUUGCUGCGCUACCGUUUAAUAAGAGUCGGGUUACUUGAAAGUGUAACCUAAAGAUGCAGGUAGAUCCCUGCUAAGGCUAAAUACGUCCACCAGACCGAUAGCAAACAAGUACCGUGAGGGAAAGUUGCAAAGUACUUUGAAGAGAGAGUUAAAAGAACGUGAAACGGCUAACGGGUAAACGGUUGUAGUGGUCGGAAUAAUCGGCUGGCUUUCAUGAUUCCUGGGUUAAGGGUCUCUCUCUGAGAGAGCCUGUCCCGCAUAGGAGUCUGCAUUAGCCCGGUCGGUGCUGUCCUGCGGCGCUAGGGACGUGUGUGCUCGGCUUGCGAGGAGUUGUCGUGCGUUCAUUCCUUCGGGAGUGGAUAAUAAGCGCGGCUGCCUCGUGUUGCUAGUGGUACUGUUCUUAGUGCGGUAACCCUUUCUAGGGUACGUGAUGUUGGUCGAAGGCGCUGACCUGCGUUGGAGACGGGCUGUAGGUGUAAACCGAAUGCCUUUCUUUAGCGCAAUAGGUGCUUGAGACAGGCGUUACCGCAGAUGAGACUAACUGUAACCGUCCCGUCUUGAAACACGGACUAAGGAGUCUAGCAAUAGCGCGAGUCGCACAGUCUUGAACAGGCUUGUGAGGCGGAAUGAAAGUAACAGAGGUGAUUCUCGCAAGAGAGGCAACCUCGGGUCCCUAAAGGGAACCUGUAGCGCUAUUGCUGGUACCCGAAAGAUGGUGAACUAUGCCUGGGCAAGACAAAGUCAGGGGAAACUCUGAUGGAGGUCUGUAGCGAUUCUGACGUGCAAAUCGAUCGUCAGACCCGGGUAUAGGGGCGAAAGACUAAUCGAACCAUCUAGUAGCUGGUUCCUUC
rnacentral:misc_RNA from 1 species